ACUUAUUUGCAUCGGUCCCCUACGUAGAGGAUGCGUAGGCCGGAGCUGACUGCUGAGAUAAACUACUAAGGACUUAUACGGAAAUGAUGAUUAAGGCCAUGGUAUAUGGGGUUUCGGGAAUGAUUCCUAUAUUUAUGAAGCUUAUGGUGCUAAAACAGAUACUGAUGUUUCGCAAAGUUCUCCCAAGUCAACGUAUCCUUACUCAAAACAUGUCC
rnacentral:lncRNA from 1 species